rnacentral:rRNA from 1 species
GAGCACGUAGGUGGGUUUGUAAGUCAGAUGUGAAAGCCUUCUGUUCAACGGAAGAAUUGCAUCUGAAACUGCGAGUCUUGAGUGUAGGAGGGGAGAAUGGAACUUCUGGUGGAGCGGUGAAAUGCGUAGAUAUCAGAAGGAACGCCGGCGGCGAAAGCGAUUCUCUGGCCUAUUACUGACACUCAGUGUGCGAAUGCUAGGGGAGCAAACGGGAUUAGAUACCCCGGUAGUCCUAGCCGUAAACGAUGGGCACUAAGUAGAGGGG